rnacentral:rRNA from 1 species
AAAUUGAAGAGUUUGAUCAUGGCUCAGAUUGAACGCUGGCGGCAGGCCUAACACAUGCAAGUCGAACGGUAACAGGAAACAGCUUGCUGUUUCGCUGACGAGUGGCGGACGGGUGAGUAAUGUCUGGGAAACUGCCUGAUGGAGGGGGAUAACUACUGGAAACGGUAGCUAAUACCGCAUAACGUCGCAAGACCAAAGAGGGGGCCCUCGGACCUCUUGCCAUCGGAUGUGCCCAGAUGGGAUUAGCUUGUUGGUGGGGUAACGGCUCACC